rnacentral:rRNA from 1 species
GGCGUGCGGCGGCUAAUACAUGCAAGUCGAGCGGACAGAUGGGAGCUUGCUCCCUGAUGUUAGCGGCGGACGGGUGAGUAACACGUGGGUAACCUGCCUGUAAGACUGGGAUAACUCCGGGAAACCGGGGCUAAUACCGGAUGGUUGUUUGAACCGCAUGGUUCAAACAUAAAAGGUGGCUUCGGCUACCACUUACAGAUGGACCCGCGGCGCAUUAGCUAGUUGGUGAGGUAACGGCUCACCAAGGCAACGAUGCGUAGCCGACCUGAGAGGGUGAUCGGCCACACUGGGACUGAGACACGGCCCAGACUCCUACGGGAGGCAGCAGUAGGGAAUCUUCCGCAAUGGACGAAAGUCUGACGGAGCAACGCCGCGUGAGUGAUGAAGGUUUUCGGAUCGUAAAGCUCUGUUGUUAGGGAAGAACAAGUACCGUUCGAAUAGGGCGGUACCUUGACGGUACCUAACCAGAAAGCCACGGCUAACUACGUGCCAGCAGCCGCGGUAAUACGUAGGUGGCAAGCGUUGUCCGGAAUUAUUGGGCGUAAAGGGCUCGCAGGCGGUUUCUUAAGUCUGAUGUGAAAGCCCCCGGCUCAACCGGGGAGGGUCAUUGGAAACUGGGGAACUUGAGUGCAGAAGAGGAGAGUGGAAUUCCACGUGUAGCGGUGAAAUGCGUAGAGAUGUGGAGGAACACCAGUGGCGAAGGCGACUCUCUGGUCUGUAACUGACGCUGAGGAGCGAAAGCUGACCGCC